rnacentral:rRNA from 1 species
UCAGAUUGAACGCUGGCGGAAUGCUUUACACAUGCAAGUCGAACGGUAGAGGGGGCAACCCCUCGAGAGUGGCGAACGGGUGAGUAAUAUAUCGGAACGUGCCCAGUCGUGGGGGAUAACGUAGCGAAAGUUACGCUAAUACCGCAUACGAUCUACGGAUGAAAGCGGGGGACUCGUAAGAGCCUCGCGCGAUUGGAGCGGCCGAUAUCAGAUUAGGUAGUUGGUGAGGUAAAGGCUCACCAAGCCAACGAUCUGUAGCUGGUCUGAGAGGACGACCAGCCACACUGGAACUGAGACACGGUCCAGACUCCUACGGGAGGCAGCAGUGGGGAAUUUUGGACAAUGGGCGAAAGCCUGAUCCAGCAAUGCCGCGUGCAGGACGAAGGCCUUCGGGUUGUAAACUGCUUUUGUACGGAACGAAAAGGUAGCUCCUAAUACGAGCUGCCGAUGACGGUACCGUAAGAAUAAGCACCGGCUAACUACGUG